rnacentral:lncRNA from 1 species
CUCUUUUUGCCUGCUACCAUGCAUGUAAGAGGUGACUUGCUCCUCCUUGCCUUCUGCCAUGAUUGUGAGGCUUCCCCAGCCAUGUGGGACUGUAAGUCCAUUAAACCUCUUUCUUUUGUAAAUUGCCCAGUCUUGGGUAUGUCUUUAUCAGCAGUGUGAAAACAGACUAAUACAAGUGCAUUACUUCUAUGAGUAAGUAAGGAGGAAGCAGAUUGCCCCAACAAGAUGCCUCUUUUGUUCAAACCAGAGCUUGUUUAUCACAGAGAAAGAUGGCAAUAAUGUCCUGAGAAAUACGAAUGACCAAGGAACGCUAUCAUACUGUUUUGUGUGUGUGUGUGUGUGUGUGUGUGUGACUUCCCUGGAUGUGUGGAAGUUGACUUCCCUGGAUUAGCCAACCAUUUAUACUGAAAAUUAUGACACUGGUGGAAAAAGACAGGGCAGACUGUAUUUUCUUUUCCUUUCAGUCAUUUCUUAUCAGCAAGCAAAGGUAGGCAGAGUUGGUAGAAUGCGUGAGCAUCAUGAUGUGCAAUAAAAACAGUUAAAUUCGUUUUGUGUAAGUUUCCACUAUUCUUGUAAGAAUGAAAUACACAUGAAUGUAUAAGCUAUGAGAUACAAAUUGUGUAAUUUUGGUGAUUCUAUAUAAAAAUUAGAUGCUCUUAUAUUUGCAUCUAAACCUGGCAUAGUACAAUAUAAAAAUGAAUGGUAAAAUUAUGCUAAUUAUUUAAAAUUUUAACCUUUCUCUACUCAGAAUGACAAAGCAAGUAAAAAUCACCAUAGGAAGUCAAGAAAAAGACACCAACAGAAGAAAGAAAAAACCCUUUAAGGGAACUUCUUCCUGCUUUUUGAACUAGGGACUUCACAUAUUUCUUUUGCAUUGGGCCCCACAAAUAACAGGCCACAAUGAUGCUAUGUUGCUUCCAAGACUAGAUUAUAAAAAUAAUACUCUGGCAUCCACCUCUUCUCCCCCUCCCCCCACGUCCAUUCUCUACCUACCAUCUCUUUCUUAGGGGUUGGGGGAAGGGAGGGAAUUUCAGCCAUUUUGUCAAGACACCUUGGCCAACAACCACCAAGAGCCUGAGUAUUGCCAGCAGACGCAUGAGUGAGCUUGCAAGUGGAUCUUCCCCCUGCUGAGCCUUGAGAGAACUGCAGCCCUGGCUGACAUCUUGAUUGCAGUUGUAGGAGGAACCCUAAGUCAGAAGCACAGCUAAGCCACACCCAGAUUCCCAACCCACAUAAACUCUGAGGCAUUGUGGCUCUGGAGACCUGGAAGCACUGCUAACUGUUCUCUCGAUUUUCUGACGCUCGGCCACAUCAACCUGUCAUACUAGUUGUGAGGAGAAGUCAAGGACAGUGACACAGCCAGCCAGUCUGAGGCAUUUUCCAUCAUCCUGAAGGAGUUGCCCUAUCCUGCUUUUCACUGGAGGGGGCAUGGAUGGGUAGGUAAACACACCUGCCGUGAAGUUUCCAGUUCUAUCCUCCUGCAAGGCCUUCGGGGAUAAGUGUGUUAGAAGAUUGGUCAGUAUCAUUUGCCAACUUGAUGUCUCUUCCUUUUUUAAUGAUCCUUAGUUUCCCCACUGUUUCCUGUCACAGGAUUCAAUUUCACUCCACAUUCAUCCUUUCUUACUGGGCACUGAUGUUGAGAGCAUCAGGCAGGGUAUAAUGUUAUGUUGCAGUAACAAACACCCUCAAUAUCUCAGUGGCUUAAAAUGACAACGAUCUUUUUUUUGUUUGUUUGUUUAUGCUCUAUAUCACCCAGGGAUCCUGGAUGACAAAGCAGUCACCUACUUGAACACUGCUAAUUAUGAAGUCAGAAAGAGGAAAGUUUGCAGAGUUUUGUAUUGGCAAUCAAACAUUCAGCCACAGGUCACAGUCUAGAACCAGACACAUCAGUGUCCUCAACUGCAAAGUAGCCAGGAAGCAGCAUCCCAUAACACAGUCCUAUGUCCACUGUUUUGGAGGUAGGAAAUUGGAAAUAUUCAGUGAGUAGCACUGUGAGUAGGGCAGUAAUUUCAUUUUUUAAUUAAACAAAUGGAAGAUGGCAGCUCCUCAGUUUUUUCUUCUAUGGUUUAUUUCUGAUGUCUUAUCUUAAUUAAUAUAUCCUGAUAUCUAUUUCCCAUUACUUAGUCUGUCCUUUUUCCCAAUAUCCAGUUAUUUUCAGUAAAUAUUUUCUGUCAUUACACCCAGCAGUCUAACUUUUUGCGACUUCAGUGUCUAUUCUCAUUCCUCAGUCCCAAAUCCAUUUUCUUUAUUAGAUUUAUCUGAACUCCUGCAGCUCUUUCUGUCUGCAUCACACAACUUAACCUUUAAUUACUUGCCUACUGGGCAUUCUACUUGGUUCUGCCUUUUAUCAGCUGAAUCAGAACAUAACUUUCUCUCACCACCUCCCUCCCCUACUCCAAAUUGACUUUACCUCCUGAUCCCCUAUUUCCAAAGUGGUUCCAUUAUUCUUCUCAGUGCUCAGCCUUAACAUCUUCGUUUCUGUUUGACUUCUAAUCUCUGGCAUCUCAUAAUUGUGCAGUUACCAAACUCUCCCCCAUGAACUCGAUGUGCUCAUGUGGAUCAAAUGACACAGUAAAAGUGAAAGCACGUUGUAGACUCCAAAUACAAGAGGAUACUGCUCUCUAUUCCUUCAACUAUUUUUCAUUCCUUAUUUAUUUAUUCAUCAUUCAUUUAUUCAUGUAGUUACUCAAGACCUAAGUGUUUUCUUGGAACUGUGUUUGUUACUGAGGAAGCCACAAAUUAAAUAUAAGUCUGCUCUUCAAGAGGUUACAUUCCAGUUAAGGAGAUUGCAUAUCCAUAUUUCCAGAAGUACCAAUGUGAUUGAAGCAAGGGAAAUUGCUAUGGGAUAUCUGACCAACUGGAUAUUCUGCUGGAAGAGCAGAAUGCACUUCAAAGACUAGCCAAUAAAACUCUCAUGUAAGAUAUGUUUUUCUUUUUGUUUCUAUUUAACUAAUGAAUAGAACCUCAGUGAUUUAAGGAAAGGCAGGCCCAUGAUAUGGAAAGAGAAGGGGAUGAUGAUGAUAUUCUGGAAUGGUCGUGCAAGGCUUCAGGAGGAAGUGAGAGUGAUGAUUGAAUCAUAUAACUCCUGAAUAAAUAUCUGGAAUAAACAUCUCCAGAAUAAAACAUCUGGAGGAUUCUCAGUAUACUUAGAAUAAAAUUGAGCCUCCUCAUGAAGGCCUACUAGCACCUUCAUGAUCAAACCCCUUUUCAACUUUGACCUUCUUUCUUAUUUUAGGGGCUCCUGACACACUGACCUCUGUCAGUUCCUUCAGCACACCAGGCUAAUCCCCAGUCUUGCGCCUUUGGACCAGAGGUUUUCUUUGCUCAGAAUACUGUUUCAACAGAUCUUUGCAUAGCUGGCUCUCGCUAUUUGACUAAAAUGUCAAUCCUCAGAGAGGUACUCCUUAAAUAUCCAAUCUUAAGUAGCAUCCCUUUCUCCCAGGAUCCUGUUUUUCAGAACUCUGUUUUCUUUUUAAAACACUUGUUAUCUGAAAGGAUGUCGUCUGCUUGCUUGUUUGUUCAUUUCUUUAUUGUCUAUUCCAUCUCACCCCUUCUCAGGAUGUAAGCUGUUUAAAGGCAAGGACCUUAUCUGUGUUACAUGCUGUAUUCCCAGGGCUCAGACAGAGCAUGACCUAUCGUAUGUACUAAAUAAAUAUCUCCUCAUACUGUAAA